rnacentral:rRNA from 1 species
UACGGAAGGCAGCAGUGGGGAAUAUUGCACAAUGGGCGCAAGCCUGAUGCAGCCAUGCCGCGUGUAUGAAGAAGGCCUUCGGGUUGUAAAGUACUUUCAGUCGUGAGGAAGGUGUUAAGGUUAAUAACCUUAGCAAUUGACGUUAGCGACAGAAGAAGCACCGGCUAACUCCGUGCCAGCAGCCGCGGUAAUACGGAGGGUGCGAGCGUUAAUCGGAAUUACUGGGCGUAAAGGGCACGCAGGCGGUUAAUUAAGUUGGAUGUGAAAUCCCCGGGCUUAACCUGGGAAUGGCAUUCAAGACUGGUUAGCUAGAGUCUUGUAGAGGGGGUAGAAUUCCAUGUGUAGCGGUGAAAUGCGUAGAGAUGUGGAGGAAUAUCGGUGGCGAAGGCGGCCCCUGGGACAAGACUGACGCUCAUGUGCGAAAGCGUGGGGAGCGAAACAGGGAUUAGGAUA